UCAAGAAAAAUAAAUAAAUAAAGCAAAAAAAUAAAAGAAAAAAAAAAAAAAAAUUUCUUGUUCACUUUAAAAAUCCUAUUUCUUUCUGUACCGUAUAUAUUCAUUGGAGUAGUAAUAAAGAACAAAUGGUACAAAAUUCGCUUUCAUUCAUCCAUCAUCAAGCUUUAUGCGGUGGUGUUGAUGUGAAUGUGAUCAGAACAGACAUAGUUUGGCGGGGGUGAGAGUGAAGGAGACAAUGUUCCUGUUGGCGCUGUUUCUUGGGUUCUUUCUGGGGGCUAUGGCGAUUGUGGUGGUCGAAGCUCUUGGAGUCCUCUUUGUGAAAGGCCGAUUGAAUCGAAGAAUCAAAGAAGCAGACGCAACGGCGGCAUCGAAAUCUCGUCAUUCUCUUUCGAUCUUUCUUCUUAUCACAACAAGCAGGUCGUGACUUUAUGAGGUGGUGUUUAGGUAACUUUGACUAUGCUUGAACCCGAAUUGGGUUCGUAGGGGUUCAUGUUUUUGUUUAUCUGCCUGUAUUAUGUAGCAAUAUUACCCUUUUACCCUUGUUCUUACUAUAUAAAUGUUAGAAGCCUUAGGGUUCCUCACUCCUCGUAUCAUCCACUGCCUCUCAUCUUAUUCCUACUUUGCUACUCAUUGCCCACUUUGACAGGCAUCUCCAAUGAGCAAGGGAUCGACGAUUAUUUCUCUUUGAUGUUCGGCUACUGAAUACCCACUCAGUGAAUUCAAGGGCAACUUAGUUCAAAUGCUCCCGCUUUUGUGUGGUUUAGAGAUGGUCAGAUGUAUGCCACCUUACCUCCGCAUGCGAAGAGGCUGUUUCCCGUUUUGGACCCAUGAUCUCCGGGUCAAAAUAAUGCAACUUUACGGUUGCGCUAAUGUCCACUUUCAGAAGGCUAAAAACCAAACGGAUUAUGUCCAAGAGGAGAGUGUUGUGAAUGAUGGAGUACGAGUUUGGUAUAGCAGUUCAUUGUCUAUAUCGUACAAAGCAAAAAGGUAAAGAUGAGAAUGGAUACAAAUCUGCAGAGCUUUCUCCAGUUUGCAACACAAAUGUACACUCAAAACGCAUUCCUCAGAUGCUGCAUUGGUGAAUUAUGAAGACAUUGGAAAAGACAUUUCCUUGUUCUGGAGUGGUAGAAGAAAUAUUAGGAUGUAAAUCUGAAGGGAAGGAAAGUGAUGGAAUUUCACUUCCCCCCUUGGGGGUCGCUUCUUACCAGAUGCAAGGGGUUCUUUGGAUGAAGCCCGGCACAUGCGAUUAUGAAAGGCUUGUUGUAUCUUCAUAGUGCUGCUGAUUCCUGGAUGAAGCAGCUCAGUGUCCAGCACCGUGACUUCAACUAUUUUACUUGGCACUCUACCAUGGAGAUUUGGUAUAUCUUUCUAAAUUGUUACGUCAUCCGCUGCUCUGGUGAUUGCCAUUCAAUGACUCUCCCACUGCAGUAAUAACAAUUUGGUGAUACUCAUUUCAGACUAUGAAUUGUUGACUCGGUCAUUGACUUAGAGCCUGCCUUAACUUUGUGAUACUGAUGUUCAAUAUCAGGGUAAUAACAGUUUUGAUUAUGUUCAGACUUUGACUUGUUGCCAUGCACAAAAUAUAUAUAAUUCAAGAGCUUUGUACACAUUUUUCUUAAUUAGGUCAGUUAUUUUCUCUACAUAAGCUGGUUUUUCAAGGUCAUCGUCUCUUUAGCUAGCUCAGAGUGUUUACAGUACGUUAAGUGUUUCUCAUUUACCUUUCUUUAACUUAUUUUUGUGGUCUCAUCGUCACAACUAUAAUUGUUGGAUGGUUUUUUUGGUUCAUAUAUUCGUUUAUGGAAGGCACUUGUAAGCUCAUAAUUAAGAAAUGAAACAGCGUGACAAGAGUCUACGAAUAAAGACGAAAAUUAGAGAAAAUAUAUUACCAAAUAAUAAUAAUAAUAAGUACUUUCGUACGGAAUGCUAAAUUCGUUCUUGGAAGUAUAAUUGUAUUAGUUAUGUUUCAAAUGCAAUUAUUGAGUGUUAUGAUUGAUUAUGAUUUGUGAGAAAAUUAAACAAUUUUGACAAGUAGGAGUUAAAUAACCAGCUGAGAAUGGAGAAAUGAUGUGCUAAUGUGCUAUUCCGAAAAGAUUAUUACUAAUUUAAUUUGUAUAUAUAUCUUUGCCGCUUAACAAAAAAUAGAAACUACUACGUAGAAUAAUUUAUUUCAGCCUUUUACUAUAUCCUCGGGUUAUCCUUUUGAAGCUCCCGAUGGAGAAAGCUAAACCCUAGCGCUCGAAUCCUGCUUCUUAAUCCUCACUUGACAAAGAGCCUCGGUGAAAGACAGACCGAGGGUCCCUAAACACAUGUCUUGUAAGGACUCGAAAGGUGUCCCCUUUUCCACUGUAAUAUUGCAGCUCAUCGAGUAAUGAGUAUUGUCAUAUCUUCGUCAUCGUCUUCUUCUUGGCAUCAUCUUCUUCGACAAAGUUGUUCCGCCGAAGUGGUUUCAACCGUUUUGGGUUUGGUUCGAGUGGUUUCGUGUCUGAUUUGAGUGGUUUCAACUGUCAGAAUCAGACCCCAAAACGGUUGAAACCACUCGAACCAGAACCAGACCCAGCCGCUGAAACUGUUUGCGAUGGUGAGAGUGAAGGGGACAAUGUUUCUGUUGACACUCUUUGUUGGGGGCUUUGACGAUUGUUGCGGUCAAAGCUCCUGGAGUCCUCUUUGUGAUAGGCCGAUUGAAUCAAAGAAGCAGACGCAAAGGCGGCAUUGAAAUGUCACCGUCUUUAUUAUCACACAAUCAGGGCAUGUUCAAGGACAAGAGUUGCAAGAAUCAAUUAAUGGGCCUAACAAAUCAUCCAUAUUGGGAAAAAAUGAAUGGUUUGAAGGUUGUUGACAAAUAAGGUACAUGUUCAACCAAAAGUGUUUGACACAUAUCCCAUACCCAUGUUCGAGCAAUAUAUGUUUGACACGGGUAUUUCACUACUUUUGAAGAAUCCAUGUAAUAUAGCUACUGAGUGAACACAAGGCAACUGAGUGCACAAUGCUCCCGCUUUUAAGGGGUUUAGAGAUGAUGAGAUGUAUGCCACCAUACCUUCGCAUGCGAAAAGGCUGUUUCUCGUUUCAAACUCGUGAUCUCCGGGUCAAAAUAAUGCAACUUUACUGUUAGGCCAAGGUCCACUCUCAGAAUGCCAACAUCAGUAAAGAAAACUCUCUUUUGGGGGGUUUGAGAAAAUUGGUUAUAUUCUGGAUGGUGCAUCAAAGGGAUCAGGUAUCCUAUUUAUCACAUUCCAACUAAAGGAAAUGCGAAGGACUUGUCAAAAUGCUUCCUCACUUACCAUACAUUGUCCUCUUUCCAAGAUGCUGCAUUUGAGAAUUAUGACGACGUUGGAAAAGACGUUCCUUGUUCUGGAGUUUCCCUACUAAAGAUGGAAGGGGAUCUUUGGAAGAAGCCCGACACAUCCGAUCAUGAAAGGCUGAUGUAUCUUCAUAGUGCUGCUGAUUUCUGGCUGAAGCAACUCAGUGUCCAGAUAGUUACGAAGUAACAACAGUUCAAUCCAUAGAGUAUAUAUGUAUCUUUUAUAAUUCCUUUUCUGUCAUAUGCUGGCUUAAUUGUUAGUUUACAGGCUCUAUGCCGUACUUCAGCGGUGUAUGUGAGAUAAUUAAUAAUUCAGUCGUAUCAAUUGUUAAUAACAUUGUAAGGAGGGAUUAUUUGUGCACAAAACUUAUAUUAAGAUAAAUUGUUUUCUGCACUUAACCCUAAUUCUUAA